CGCGUGCUAUUCUCCUUGCAGAG
rnacentral:piRNA from 1 species